CGGGGCGUAGCGCAGCUUGGUAGCGUACUUGCAUGGGGUGCAAGGGGUCGGAGGUUCGAAUCCUCUCGCCCCGA
rnacentral:tRNA from 1 species